rnacentral:rRNA from 1 species
AGCACUCAAGUGGUGGAAACAUAUCGAAAUCAAGUUUCAACGAGGCAUGCAGUUAAUUGACGCAGACCCGAAACCGGGAGACCUAACCAUGAGCAGUAUGAAGCGAAAGUAAAAGUUCGUGGAGGUCCGAACCCACGAGCAUUGAAAGGCUCGGGGAUGACGUGUGGGUAGCGGUGAAAUUCCAAUCGAGCCCGGAGAUAGCUAGUUCUCCCCGAAAUAGCUUUAGGGCUAGCAUCAAGGUGAGAGAUACGGAGGUAGAGCACUGAAUGUCCUAGGGCGUAUUGCACCUGCCGAAGACCAACAAACUCCGACUGCCGGCAUCUUAUACUUGGGAGUCAAACUGUGGGAGAUAAGAUUCAUAGUCCAAACGGCAACAGCCCAACCCGUCAGCUCAGGUCCCCACAUGUAGAUUACGGGUGAAGGGGUUGGGGGUUGCCCA